GAUUCUGGGCGUAAGCGUGCGUAGGUGGUCGUUUAAGUCCGUUGUGAAAGCCCUGGGCUCAACCUGGGAACUGCAGUGGAUACUGGACGACUAGAGUGUGGUAGAGGGUAGCGGAAUUCCUGGUGUAGCAGUGAAAUGCGUAGAGAUCAGGAGGAACAUCCAUGGCGAAGGCAGCUACCUGGACCAACACUGACACUGAGGCACGAAAGCGUGGGGAGCAAACAGGAUUAGAUACCCUGGUAGUCCACGCCCUAAACGAUGCGAACUGGAUGUUGGGUGCAAUUUGGCACGCAGUAUCGAAGCUAACGCGUUAAGUUCGCCGCCUGGGGAGUACGGUCGCAAGACUGAAACUCAAAGGAAUUGACGGGGGCCCGCACAAGCGGUGGAGUAUGUGGUUUAAUUCGAUGCAACGCGAAGAACCUUACCUGGCCUUGACAUGUCGAGAACUUUCCAGAGAUGGAUCGGUGCCUUCGGGAACUCGAACACAGGUGCUGCAUGGCUGUCGUCANCUCGUGUCGUGAGAUGUUGGGUUAAGUCCCGCAACGAGCGCAACCCUUGUCCUUA
rnacentral:rRNA from 1 species